AUUGAACGCUGGCGGCAUGCCUUACACAUGCAAGUCGAACGGCAGCGGACCUUCGGGUGCCGGCGAGUGGCGAACGGGUGAGUAAAGUAUCGGAACGUACCUUUCAGUGGGGGAUAACGUAGCGAAAGGUACGCUAAUACCGCAUAUUCUGUGAGCAGGAAAGCAGGGGAUCCCAAGGCCUUGCGCUGAUUGAGCGGCCGAUAUCAGAUUAGCUAGUUGGUGAGGUAAAGGCUCACCAAGGCGACGAGCUGUAGCGGGUCUGAGAGGAUGAUCCGCCACACUGGAACUGAGACACGGUCCAGACUCCUACGGGAGGCAGCAGUGGGGAAUAUUGGACAAUGGGGGUAACCCUGAUCCAGCCAUGCCGCGUGAGUGAAGAAGGCCUUCGGGUUGUAAAGCUCUUUCGGCCGGGAAGAAAUCGCACGGGCUAAUACCCUGUGUGGAUGACGGUACCGGAAUAAGAAGCACCGGCUAACUACGUGCCAGCCGCCGCCGUAA
rnacentral:rRNA from 1 species